GUCCACACUGUAAACGAUGAAUGCUAGGUGUGGGGGUGCAAACCUCCGUGCCGCAGUUAACACAAUAAGCAUUCCACCUGGGGAGUACGGCCGCAAGGUUGAAACUCAAAGGAAUUGACGGGAGCCCCGCACAAGCAGUGGAGUAUGUGGUUUAAUUCGACGCAACGCGAAGAACCUUACCAGGUCUUGACAUCCAGAGAAGUCUGCGUAAUGGCGGAUGUGCCCUUCGGGGAAUUCUGAGACAGGUGGUGCAUGGUUGUCGU
rnacentral:rRNA from 1 species